GUCGAAAUAGCUCAGUUGGUUUAGAGUGUUUGAUUGAAAAUCAAAAGGCAAAGGUUCAAAUCCUUUUUUUGACA
rnacentral:tRNA from 1 species